UACCGACCGAGUUAUAGGGAAAACUUGGUGCAAAAAUGAGGAAAAUUUUACAUUUUCUCAAACAGGGUAGGGAACUCGAAUAACUUCUGGCACAGACAUCUGAGGGCAUGGCCGUUCAAGAAGAAAAUGUAGCCAUUGGUGCCAUCUAUCGACCACAGGUUAAAGAUUGGCGAUCCGUUGGAUACCGACCGAGUUACAGGCAAAACUUGGUGCAAAAAUGAGGAAAAUUUUAUAUUUUCUCAAACAGGGUAAGGAACUUGGUUCCUCCAAUAACUUCUGGCACAGACAUCUGAGGGCAUGGCCGUCCAAGAAGAAAAUGUAGCCAUUGGUGCCAUCUAUCGACCACAGGUUAAAGAUUGGCGAUCCGUUGGAUACCGACCGAGUUACAGGCAAAACUUUGUGCAAAAAUGAGGAAAAUUUUAUAUUUUCUCAAACAGGGUAAGGAACUUGGUUCCUCCAAUAACUUCUGGCACAGACAUCUGAGGGCAUGGCCGUUCAAGAAGAAAAUGUAGCCAUUGGUACCACCUAUUGACCACAGGUUAAAGAUUGGCGAUCCGUUGGAUACCAACCGAGUUAUAGGCAAAAGUUGAUGCAAAAAUGAAUCCUUUGAAAUUUUCAAAUUUUUAUUUUUUUUUAAUUUUUAUCUAAUUUUUUAUUAUUUUUUUUAAUUUAAAGCAUUAUUUGAGUGAAAAUAAACGUAUUGGCACCAAUUGGCAUUAAAAUUAAUCAAUUUAAUUUUUUUUGCAAAAUUUCUCAAAAAAAUGGUAAGGGGUAAGCCUUAUGAAAUUUUCGAGUGGAAAUUUUUUUUUAAAUUUUUUCUGAUUUUUUAUUCUUUUUUAAAUUUAAAGCAAUAUUUAAGUGAAAAGAAACUUACUGCAACAAAUUCCCAAUAAAAUAUAUGACAUUUUUCAAUUUUGCUAAAUUACUCAAAAAUGAGGAAAAUUUUAUAUUUUCUCAAACAGGGUAAGGAACUUGAUUCCUCAAAUAACUUCUGGCACAGGCAUAUGAGGGCAUGGCCGUCCAAGAAGAAAAUGUAGCCAUUGGUGCCAUCUAUCGACCACAGGUUAAAGAUUGGCGAUCUGUUGGAUACCGACCGAGUUAUAGGCAAAACUUGGUGCAAAAAUGAGGAAAAUUUUACAUUUUCUCAAACAGGGUA